ACAAGGAUACACAUGGUACUCCAAACAGCUGUAAAAAAUGACGUGGACAGAAGCUGUGGAGGACUAGCAGCCCAAACACAAAGAGCCAACUCACAUCUGGAUCGUCAGGCACAGUAUCUAUGGAUCUCACCCUCCCACCUCAGACUGCUGGUACCAAGCAGCGGUGUCUCCUGGGAGCUGGCUGUGCUGCUGUCCUCCAUCAGCACCGUGGCUGUGCAGCACAAGUCUCACCUCUCACAUGCAAACAGUGUUAGCUAGCAUUCCAGGACCAGAUAUCAAUAAAGGACCCGGCAUUCAGUGUGCUGUGCACCAACUCUCUCAAAGCAUUUGAGGCAAAGAAGAGGAGGAGGUGACAGGCAUGAGAAAGUCUGGAUGAUCAAACCAGCAAGAAAGCCACUUCCAUUCUUUUAUGAAGAGACAUCCUGGAGAGACUUGCUGUACUCAAACAUUCCUGCAAUGGUUUGCCUCCUGGACUGGUCAGAAUGUGGCUGCUCUAUCCUACAUGGGCAAGGGUAAAGAAUAGCCCUGAGAUACUCCAGAAGAGACAGCAUGUGAUCUGGUGGUGGGAUUCAGAGGUCUGAAGUCUCUCUCUUGCUCUGUCAAGCACGUGCUCUUCAGGUUUGGUGCGGACUUGUCUGCUGGAGCUGGACCCUGCAGCUGCCCUGACAGUAUCUGGACCCAAACUGCUCAAGCAGCAAGUCUCCCAGCUCAGGCAGCACCACAAGCCAGUGCCUGCUCAGCUAUAUCCAGC
rnacentral:lncRNA from 1 species